GAUGAACGCUGGCGGCGUGCCUAAUACAUGCAAGUCGAGCGAACGGACGAGAAGCUUGCUUCUCUGAUGUUAGCGGCGGACGGGUGAGUAACACGUGGAUAACCUACCUAUAAGACUGGGAUAACUUCAGGAAACCGGAGCUAAUACCGGAUAAUAUUUUGAACCGCAUGGUUCAAAAGUGAAAGACGGUCUUGCUGUCACUUAUAGAUGGAUCCGCGCUUCAUUAGCUAGUUGGUAAGGUAACGGCUUACCAAGGCAACGAUGCAUAGCCGACCUGAGAGGGUGAUCGGCCACACUGGAACUGAGACACGGUCCAGACUCCUACGGGAGGCAGCAGUAGGGAAUCUUCCGCGAUGGGCGAAAGCCUGACGGAGCAACGCCGCGUGAGUGAUGAAGGUCUUCGGAUCGUAAAACUCUGUUAUUAGGGAAGAACAUAUGUGUAAGUAACUGUGCACAUCUUGACGGUACCUAAUCAGAAAGCCACGGCUAACUACGUG
rnacentral:rRNA from 1 species